rnacentral:rRNA from 1 species
GAUGAACGCUGGCGGCGUGCCUAAUACAUGCAAGUCGAGCGAACGGACGAGAAGCUUGCUUCUCUGAUGUUAGCGGCGGACGGGUGAGUAACACGUGGAUAACCUACCUAUAAGACUGGGAUAACUUCGAGAAACCGGAGCUAAUACCGGAUAAUAUUUUGAACCGCAUGGUUCAAAAGUGAAAGACGGUCUUGCUGUCACUUAUAGAUGGAUCCGCGCUGCAUUAGCUAGUUGGUAAGGUAACGGCUUACCAAGGCAACGAUGCAUAGCCGAGCUGAGAGGCUGAUAGGCCACACUGGAACUGAGACACCGUCCAGACUCCUACGGGAGGCAGCAGUAGGGAAUCUUCCGCAAUGGGCGAAAGCCUGACGGAGCAACGCCGCGUGAGUGAUGAAGGUCUUCGGAUCGUAAAACUCUGUUAUUAGGGAAGAACAUAUGUGUAAGGAACUGUGCACAUCUUGACGGUACCUAAUCAGAAAGCCCCGGCUAACUACGUG